UACGUAGGUGGCGAGCGUUGUCCGGAUUUACUGGGCGUAAAGAGCGCGCAGGCGGCUGGUCAAGUCCGAUGUGAAAGCUUCCGGCUUAACUGGGAAAUUGCAUCGGAAACUGAUCGGCUGGAAGGUGGGAGAGGGUAGCGGAAUUCCCGGUGUAGUGGUGAAAUGCGUGGAUAUCGGGAGGAACACCCAGGGAGAAAUCAGCCGCCUGGGCAAGUGCUGACGCUGAGGUGCGAAAGCGUGGGGAGCGAACCGG
rnacentral:rRNA from 1 species